rnacentral:tRNA from 1 species
GGCCUUAUCGUCUAACGGCUAGGACAAGUGGUUUUCAUCCACUAAAUCGGGGUUCGAUUCCCCGUGGGGCUA